AGUUCCUCCUCCGGGUUUUUUUUUCCUAUAAACUUUAGUCCUUUUCAAGUUCAGUUUUUAAAAUUUUGUCAAAUUUUAGACAAGGGUUAGUGUCGAGUUGAAAGUGAAUGUAGUUGGGUGGUGGCGUGAACUUAUGAAGAGGUCGUUGUGCUCUGUACUUAUCCUACUGGAUUUCACUUAGUUUUUAAAAUGUUUUACGCGUGGAGCAUGUGUGUUAGAUUGUUUAUAGGAGGAGUUAUUCAGAAAUAAUGUGUAAAAUUGUUUAUUGGUGAUUUAUCAAGGAAAAAUUGUGCUCUGCUAAAUUUUCGGCAUCAUGUUGAUGGUGAGCAAAACAAAUCCAAUGAAACUACACAGUAUUUUUCUUCGAAUACUUCGAAAAAGAAAACUUACAUUGUGGAACUUAAUGUCUUCCAACGACUAAACGUUAUUUUUUCAAAAGAUUUGGGAAAAGAACUCUGAGAAAUAUGAUUAAUAAAUCAGAAACAAUGAAAUUACUUAAGAAGAGGGAGAAAAUAAGAUAUGCUGUUCGCAUUAGUAAAGGAUCGGAGCAUAAAUUUUCACGCUACUAAUCUAAACAUGAGCAGAGAAAAUUAUGCUUUUCUUUUGAUAAGGAAAUAUUGCAGCACAUGACACAUUUGCAUAAAGUAAAUACAUGAAAUGCUGCUUGAAAUAUUUAUGGUAUUGUGUAACAAAAGAUCCAAGAAGUUACAAAUUAUCUCAAGAAAUAUGACAGCUUCUUCAAUUCUCAAGAAAUAUGACAAUUCAUUCCUACAUAUUUUGUCUAAAUAAAUAAUAAACGCUAUUAUUUAAACAUGA